rnacentral:lncRNA from 1 species
GUUUGAAGAAGUGGUCUAUGCUUGGAGUGCUGUUGUUAGGAAUUGAACAUCCCAUGAGACAGACAAUUAGAAGGAAUUGAUUUCAAUAUUCUUUAAGGUAAUAAUGAGAACUAGUGUUCUGAAGUGCUCUGAAAAAGACCCAUAUAUUUUGUAGACCAAAUGAUCAGAUAGAGAGAGUGUACUUCACUGGGAAAUCUUCAUUCUGGAUGAAUCUAUCUCUGCAAAACAGGGUCCACUGGAGAUGUUGCAAAAUUGCCUUUUGGCCAGCAGGUUACAUGGCAAAAAUUCUUGUGUCAAAGGUGCUCAUGACAAAAGUACUGAGAACUACAGAGCUUGGCAGAAAUCUACUUACUAUGGAAGGCCAGGCAUGGAGUCAGAUGGAAAGUGGGGUAGUCUAAUCAGAGGCUCAGUCAGACAAGUCUAAGCUAGUGAUCCAGGAAGUUAGAUUCUCGGCUGUGGUUUAAGCAAGCAUUUGGCAAGUUAUUUCCACACCAAAGAGGUAAGAGAAGCAUGGUGAUGGAGAAUACAUGUACAAUCCCUAGUUGGUUUGUUUGUUUUUUUUUUUUUUGAGAAAUUUAUGUGAAUAAUUCACACUGAAGAUAGGCCACUUCCAGCUAACUGAGACAUGGCU